rnacentral:miRNA from 1 species
GUCCACAGGGUUCAGUGCUCCAG